rnacentral:rRNA from 1 species
GUGUCAGCAGCCGCGGUAAUACGUAGGUGGCAAGCGAUACUCGGAAUCACUAGGCGUAAAGCGCAGGUAGGCGGUUUGGUAAGUCUUUUGUGAAAGCUCCUGGCUCAACUGGGAGAGGUCAAGGGAAACUACCGGACUAGAGUGUGGUAGGGGAUACUGGAAUUCCUGGUGUAGCGGUGAAAUGCGUAGAUAUCAGGAGGAAUACCUAUGGCGAAAGCAGGUAUCUGGGCCAUCACUGACGCUGAGCUGCGAAAGCUAGGGGAGCAAACAGGAUUAGAUACCCUGGUAGUCC